AGAAAGGAAUGCGAGAAUCUUUGAAAACAUCUUUUGUAACUGUGAUAAACUCCUAAGUAGUAUAGCCUAUAUAUGUAAUGUUCGAGCUCCUCCUAGGCUUAGUUCAUAUAUUCAGCAGUUCAUGUUAUAACUGCUGAUUUGGCUAGAGUAGUAUAGGUAAUUCAUGUGUCCAGUUUGAUAGGCAGUUGAGUUAAAACUGUCCUAUGAUUUUGUAAGGCAACCAUUUGGUGAUUAAUACAAAUUUAAUUACCAAAAAAAAA
rnacentral:lncRNA from 1 species